rnacentral:rRNA from 1 species
AUACGUAGGGAGCGAGCGUUGUCCGGAAUUACUGGGUGUAAAGGGAGCGUAGGCGGGAGUGCAAGUCAGAUGUGAAAUUCCUGAGCUCAACUCGGGCGCUGCUUCUGAAACUGCAGGACUUGAGUGCUGGAGGGGAUAGCGGAAUUCCUAGUGGAGCGGUAAAAUGCGCAGAUAUUAGGAAGAACACCGGUGGCGAAGGCGGCUAUCUGGACAGUAACGGACGCUGAGGCGCGAAAGCGUGGGGAGCAAACAGGAGUAGAUACCCUGGUAGUCCACGCGGUAAACGAUGAUCACGAGGUGUCCGUGGGUAUGACCCAUGGGUGCCGCAGCCAACGCAAUAAGUGAUCCACCUGGGGAGUACGUUCGCAAGAAUGAAACUUAAAUGAAUUGACGGGG